rnacentral:rRNA from 1 species
CAGCAGCAGCCGCGGUAAUACGGAGGAUCCAAGCGUUAUCCGGAAUCAUUGGGUUUAAAGGGUCCGUAGGCGGUCUUGUAAGUCAGUGGUGAAAGCCCAUCGCUCAACGGUGGAACGGCCAUUGAUACUGCAGGACUUGAAUUAUUGGGAAGUAACUAGAAUAUGUAGUGUAGCGGUGAAAUGCUUAGAGAUUACAUGGAAUACCAAUUGCGAAGGCAGGUUACUACCAAUUGAUUGACGCUGAUGGACGAAAGCAUGGGGAGCAAACAGGAUUAUAUACCCCUGUAGUCCCUGUCUCUUAUAA